rnacentral:lncRNA from 1 species
AUUUGAGAGACAGAAUUAUAGGAAAUUAAAGCGCAAACUGAAGACGAGGCCUUCGCCUUUAUUAUCUAAUAAAGUUAAAGAAUCUGAGAAAAGAUAUAAAAAGGUCAUGGACAAGGCUAUUAAAAAACAUAAAAAAGAUAUGACUCGAAAAUUAAAAAAUCUUAGAUCUCAAAACACCAAAGAGUAUUGGAAAAUUUUGAACCAACGCGAACAUUCAAAACAACCGAAUAUUAAUUUUGAGGAUUUACUCAAUUUUUUCAAAGAGCUAAACUCAGGUAACUCAGAUCCAAUUGACUUGCCAACUA